CAGUCGCCGCGGGAAUACGAAGGGUGCAAGCGUUACUCGGAAUUACUGGGCGUAAAGCGUGCGUAGGUGGUGGUUUAAGUCCGUUGUGAAAGCCCUGGGCUCAACCUGGGAAUUGCAGUGGAUACUGGGUCACUAGAGUGUGGUAGAGGAUAGUGGAAUUUCCGGUGUAGCAGUGAAAUGCGUAGAGAUCGGAAGGAACAUCUGUGGCGAAGGCGACUAUCUGGGCCAACACUGACACUGAGGCACGAAAGCGUGGGGAGCAAACAGGAUUAGAGACCCGAGUAGUCCCUGUCUCUUAUAA
rnacentral:rRNA from 1 species